rnacentral:rRNA from 1 species
GAACGGAUCCUUCGGGAUUAGUGGCGGACGGGUGAGUAACGCGUGGGAACAUACCCAAAGGUACGGAAUAGCCUCGGGAAACUGGGAGUAAUACCGUAUGUGCUCGAAAGAGGAAAGAUUUAUNNCCUUUGGAUUGGCCCGCGUUGGAUUAGGUAGUUGGUGGGGUAAUGGCCUACCAAGCCGACGAUCCAUAGCUGGUUUGAGAGGAUGAUCAGCCACACUGGGACUGAGACACGGCCCAGACUCCUACGGGAGGCAGCAGUGGGGAAUCUUAGACAAUGGGGGAAACCCUGAUCUAGCCAUGCCGCGUGAUCGAUGAAGGCC